rnacentral:RNase_P_RNA from 1 species
GGAGUUGGUCAGGUGAUCGCGACCUGUUAUUGCAGGUCGAGGAAAGUCCGGGCUCCAAAGGACAAGGUGCCAGGUAACGCCUGGGGGGUGUGAACCCACGGCCAGUGCAGCAGAGAGUAGACCGCCUAAGUGAGAUUCGUCUCGCCGGUAAGGGUGAAAGGGUGCGGUAAGAGCGCACCGCGUCGAUGGCAACAUUCGAUGGCAUGGUAAACCCCACCUGGAGCAAGACCAAAUAGGGGAACGAUGGCGUGGUCCGCGCUGUUCCCGGGUAGGUUGCUAGAGAAGCAUGGCGACAUGUUUUCCAGAUGAAUGAUCAUCCUCGACAGAACCCGGCUUAUGACCAACUCCCACU